UACAGAGGUCUCAAGCGUUGUUCGGAUUCAUUGGGCGUAAAGGGUGCGUAGGCGGCGCGGUAAGUCGGGUGUGAAAUCUCGGGGCUUAACUCCGAAACUGCAUUCGAUACUGCCGUGCUUGAGGACUGGAGAAGAGACUGGAAUUUACGGUGUAGCGGUGAAAUGCGUAGAUAUCGUAAGGAAGACCAGUGGCGAAGGCGGGUCUCUGGACAGUUCCUGACGCUGAGGCACGAAGGCCAGGGGAGCAAACGGG
rnacentral:rRNA from 1 species